rnacentral:lncRNA from 1 species
GGGCAGAGGCCAGGCCGACGUCCCAGCACGAUGUUCUCCAACAGGUUCCACAGGAGGGGGUUCCAGGAUGCUCCCUGGGAGGAGGGGCCGUGGCAGCCCAGACCCUACGGUGCCGGCCCCCAGGACAACCGGUACAAGCCGUCCUGGGAGCACCAGCCCUGGAGAGGCAGGCACAACAGGCACCCGCCCGGUCCCUGGAAGCCCUGGCCUUUCCCCGGCCCCGCCGACUUCUAUAGGAUGGAUGGGGACAGGAGAUGGAAACCCCAGGACUGUCCCCGUCCGCCACCCCCCUGGGACUACAGAGAGGAGCACCAAAGACAGGAGGAAAACUUCACCGAGGACUCGUACCCGGUGCAGCCGCUGUUUGCCCCGGAUUCCUUCAACUGGUCGGAGUUCCCCGGCAACGAGCACCCCUCUGCCGACUUCUCGUGGGAGCAAGGGGCCUUCCAGGAAAGCUGCCCGCCCUGGCGUCCUCGUGGCCCAAGCCACAGACGCUGCCGUUACAUUCGCCAUGUCCAGCAGGAGACGUUGGUGUACCACAGCCCGGCCCCUCCCCAGCUCCCCAAAGGGAAGCAGGCGUCCUCCAAAUCCUCCCAGUCCUGCCCCCAGGAGAGCCAGCCAGGAGGCAAGGGAGAUGCGCAGAGCCUUGCUGCUCCCCAGCCAGCUAGUGCCAGCAAGGACGGCGUGCAGAGCGGGGAGAAGGUGGUUGAGGGCCUGCCGGCAGCCAGCGGAAAGGUGCCGGAGCCCUCCGGGCCAGCAGCCUCCCCGCAGAAGAGCCCAGCCGCUGAUCCUCAGGCUGUGGAGCAGGAGCCAGCAGCUGGAGCAAGGCUGGUUGAGCCAGAAGACAGGCAGAAAGCUGCAGGCAGCCAGAGCCCGGGCCCCUCUGCUUUGGAAACGGAGCCAGCCCUGCCAGAGAACACCUGUACCAGGACGGAGAAGGACUUGGAGCAGGUAGAGCCGUGCAGCCAAAGCGUCCCCGAGGCCGCAGCAGGUGCUGGGUCCCCACCCCACAGCACCUCAGCCCCCCAGGAGCCUGUGGAAACGGCCGGUGCUGCAGCGAGCCCGGGUGUGGAGGUACGUGCAGGGCUCUGCCUGCUCUCCUGGGCACGGCAGCAGCCUCCCGUGGUGAGAUGGGUUUCAGGCCGUUGCUGCACAGCUCUGCAGCGUUUCCUCCUGCUGAGCUUUCCCUUCCUGAAGGCAGCAGCGUUUGCUUGGCUCCCGCUGCUCUCACACAGCUGCUGCCUCCCUCCCCUGGGUGCUUUCUCUCCCGAGGGCUUCUCGGUGGACUUCAUCCCUCUGAAAACUCGCAGGUCUCACCAGGAGCUGCCGAGGAGCCCGAUGCACAGCAAAGCCAAGCCAGCUCCAACGUCUGCAGUGAGCCAGCAGCAUCACCCAGGACAGAACACCCUCCUGGGGAUGGGACAGAGCUGGUACGUGCGCAGCCCUGCCUUCUGUGCAGGAACGGUGCCCUCGUGUCCCUGGGAACCACCCGCAGUGAGGCUCAGGAGCACGGAGCUAACCCAGGAGCCCCAGGGGGAAUUUUCUCGCUGGCCUUGCCAGCCCCAGGAUUACGUGCUGGGGUUAAAGCGCCGCUUUGUCUGGGUGCAGCGCCCGUAUCAGCCCCGCUGUCGGCCGUGCAGGAGACACCGAUAAAUCGGAGACGGUUUGGAGACGGGCCAAAAAAAUAACUCGGGGAUUGGGAGUGUGCUGGAGCGUGACCGACCCCAGGACUGGAGCUUUAACGAAGCAAACGAGUGUGGCAGAGUGGCUUAAUUACUGCCUAAUGGGGAAGAGAAAUCAGCUGGAGGGGGCCUUCGGGUCUCAAAGGCACUGCUGCCAGCGCUGUGCUGGGAGGGAAGGGGGUGGCAAGGUGCCAGGGGUGUCCCCACAGGGUGGCCGGUCCCCAGCAGCCCCAAUUCGGUCCCAAUCCCGCUCCUGUUCCGUUGCCCUCUCCUUUUCCCUUUCAAAGCACGCAACCUUCCCUCGUUUUUCCCCUGCCCAGGCUGCAGGCUGCCAGCCCUUGCUCUGCUCCAUGCUCCCCGCACCCUCCCCAGCCAGCACAGACCUGCGCUCCGCCGCUGUCCUUGCCAGGAAAGAGGAGAUCGAGCUGGUGAGUCCUGGCGGGUACAUGCGGGAUUUGGGGCUAGCCGAGGAGAUGGGGACACCCCCGAGGUUCAAAAUCCAUGGGGAAUGAGGUGACACCGGGUGCUGGACAAACCAUGGGGCAGCCCCGGCUGCUGUGGGAAGGGGCUGUCACCCCUGGGGGGGAAAAAGAAACUCCCCGAGAGGGCUUCAUGCAGCUUAGGGAGAGGUUUUGGGGUGCCCCCUGCUGCCCCUUUUGCCUCUCCCUGCAGUCGUACCAGCAGUUCAGCCUGACCAUCGCCGUGGUGGCCACGAUGCUGCUGGAGAAGGAGCCCUCCAUGGAGGCGGCGCUGGGGCUGGCGCUGAGGGCCAACCUGCGCCAAGUGCGCACCCACCACCUCCAGGAGCUGGAGGAUUUCAUCAACAGCUACGACUCCGGCACCCCCAGCCCCUAAACGGGGGGGAGAAGGUGUGGAGCCCCCCGUGUCGGGGUUGGUGAGGUCCCUCCGUCCCUCCUGGAGGUGGAAAGGGGGUGUGGAGGUCGGGGGCCAGCCAGAAAUUGGGGUUUGCAGGCAGGGAACGGGGUCGUGGGCAGGUUGUCCCCACCCCGAGCUGAAUUUUCAAGAAAAGAGGGGUUUACUGAAGGGUGGCGGAAGGGAGAACAGAUAGGGCAGGGGGGACAGGAGGGCUCCCCCCUUCUCAGAGCUCCUUGCUCUCUUCUUGUGUUUUUUUGCUGCUCCGUUAAACCCCCGGGCUUUGGUCUUGUUUUUUUUAAAAAAUUAAUAAUAAAAAAAAAAAAUGAGCUUUGAUCCUCGCA